GUGCCUAACACAUGCAGUCGAGCGAGGGGAGUUCUUCGGAACAAACCUAGCGGCGGACGGGUGAGUAACACGUGGGCAACCUGCCUCAAAGAGGGGAAUAGCCUCCCGAAAGGGAGAUUAAUACCGCAUAAAGUUAUUUUUUCGCAUGAAGAGAUAACCAAAGGAGCAAUCCGCUUUGAGAUGGGCCCGCGGCGCAUUAGCUAGUUGGUGAGGUAACGGCUCACCAAGGCGACGAUGCGUAGCCGACCUGAGAGGGUGAUCGGCCACAUUGGAACUGAGACACGGUCCAGACUCCUACGGGAGGCAGCAGUGGGGAAUAUUGCGCAAUGGGGGAAACCCUGACGCAGCAACGCCGCGUGAGCGAUGAAGGUCUUCGGAUUGUAAAGCUCUGUCUUUUGGGACGAUAAUGACGGUACCAAAGGAGGAAGCCACGGCUAACUACGUGCCAGCAGCCGCGGUAAUACGUAGGUGGCAAGCGUUGUCCGGAUUUACUGGGCGUAAAGAGUAUGUAGGCGGACAUUUAAGUCAGAUGUGAAAUUCCCGGGCUUAACCUGGGAGCUGCAUUUGAUACUGGGUGUCUAGAGUGCAGGAGAGGAAAGUGGAAUUCCUAGUGUAGCGGUGAAAUGCGUAGAGAUUAGGAAGAACACCAGUGGCGAAGGCGACUUUCUGGACUGUAACUGACGCUGAGAUACGAAAGCGUGGGGAGCAAACAGGAUUAGAUACCCCGGUAGUCCACGCCGUAAACGAUGAAUACUAGGUGUCGGAGGGGUACCACCUUCGGUGCCGCAGCAAACGCAAUAAGUAUUCCGCCUGGGGAGUACGGGUCGCAAGAUUAAACUCAAAGGAAUUGACGGGGGACCCGCACAAGC
rnacentral:rRNA from 1 species